CUUGGAGCCACACUGGUAGAACUUCAAGUCCCAGGUGGCUGAGGAAGCAGGGGUGCAGGUGUCUGCCUGCCUACGGAGCAAGGCAUGGUUGAAGAGUACCUAAUUUUGGUAGAGUGACUUCUAUUCACUAAUACCAUGUGUCUGAACUGAAGAAGCUGGGGAUCGUUUCCGCAAAUAGAUAAUUAAAACUACCAAGGCAAAGUUUGUUAAACACUAUCUUAUCUUAAAAUUUAUUCGCUGAUUUGGAGGACAAAAGACAUUUUGGAAUUAUACUGAUUUUGAACUUGAAGACAUGUCUGUUGAAUUUUUAGAGAAUUAUUUCUUGAAAGACCACAGAUAUGCCUAGGGCUCUAUUAAGACUAAACAUCCCUUAUGGUAUUUGGUGAUAACUGAAGGUGAUAACAACUGGCAUUUAAGUUGAGUGUGCAGAGAUUUGUAUGUGAUAUGCCCUAUAUUAAUAAAUGUAAACACUAUGUCAGCAAGUCCAGGGUAGCGUUAGAAUGAAACUUGCAAUUCUCCAAAGUGGAGGAAAGCUACAGAGGCCCUGAACACAGUAUACUUCUAAAAGGGCAGCCCUGUUUUGGCUGUCAAAUGCUGCCUACGGUACAGUGUCUCUAGGAACUGUCAUUUGUUCAUUUGAUAAAGAUUUCUAGCAGUCCUGCAAUAUACUCCCACUGGGCUGGGUCUAGAGGUUAGAAGAAACUCACGCGCAGCUCUCGAGGGAAUCCUAAUCUACUAGCAGAGAUAUAUCCUCAUAAAUAGUUAAAGAGAGGAAGUGCUAAUUCAUCAGUCAUUCAUGCUGUUCAUAGAGUCACUCCACAGAAGGUGUCAUGCCUAGUAUCGGGAUUAAAAGAUACCUCCAUAAACCUUUCUUUGAACUAUAAUCACUGGCGACCAGAAAAAUAAUAAACUUGAAAACUUAUAUACGAGACACUCAAAAGCAGAGUGGAGUGACUUCCUAAAACACAGAAGAGAGGUGUACCCAGGCUGUCAGAGGAAGGGGCAAUCACAGUGCCCUGAAUUUCAAGAGGACAUUGUGGGAGGUGGUGGAACUUUAGGCAGGCCUGGAAAAAUGUGCAGACUUGAGAUCAGUAGGAAGAGGUAAUGAAAGUAUCUCAUGUACAGCAAUGUUUUCUAAACUUUGUGCACAUUAAGUGAUUUUAGGGAGCAUAUGGACUGAUCAAUAACGUUAAGAUGACAGAUUGAGAAAGUUGUAUUUUUUGACUUACUUUCAAUUCUUCAGAAAUAAGUUUUGUUGUUUUUGAUAUGACUUAAAAUUCUUUGAACACUUGUUUAAGCUUCCUUAAGACCCUCACAAGAUAAGCAAUAAAUGUUAGCAGU